AGAAGACUUCAUCUGGCCAAAAGACGAUCUCGGUGUAAUCGGUAUGAAGCUGACGCUGCUGUUUGCACUGCUGGUCGCUGUCCUAGCGGUAAGCUGGGCCGAAGAGUCUGUGCCUGUUGAAGCUGAUGCCGAUGUGGCUGUUUCUGUCGCCGAGGAUCUGCAGGAAGCUGACCUGGCCAGCGAUGAGUCGCGCUUCUACGGACACUACUGGCGUCCGCGCUACCACAGGCGCCGCUACUGGAGGCCUCGUUUCUUCAGGAAGCCA